rfam:Lupinus angustifolius cultivar Tanjil chromosome LG10, whole genome shotgun sequence.
GUCUAGCUAGAUAACUCUAGCUUGUAACCCAAGUGGGGCAUCAAGGUGAUGGGACAUGGCUGCGGUUUGUCUAGGUUGGGAUGUUUGUUGCACUAUGCUGGCUUGCCUGCUCCAAGUUGAGAGUUGAGUCAUGGUGUUGUGCGAAGGCUCGGUAUCAUGACUCCUAUACAAGAAGGCAAAGCGUGAGGCUAGUUUCAGAGCAACAAACACCUUUAGCUCCUGACACUAGAGGGAUCAUAGGCGGCUGCAUUACCAUCCCACAAUGCUUCGUGAUCCAAGCCACCUGAACCAUCGCUUUU